UAACACAUAUCUGCUCCCGCUAACCAAGACCUAUGGGAGGAUAAAUUACGUCUUCAUAUCCGAAAGUGAGGGAUUUUCGGAAAUAAGUUUCGCA
rnacentral:ncRNA from 1 species